rnacentral:tRNA from 1 species
UUAUUUAUAAUAUAAAAUAUAUUUUUUCUAUGAAAAUGAAAUGUUUUUUUUAAACUAUGUAAAUAGAAAU